GACGAACGCUGGCGGCGUGCUUAACACAUGCAAGUCGAACGGAAAGGCCCUGCUUUUGUGGGGUGCUCGAGUGGCGAACGGGUGAGUAACACGUGAGUAACCUGCCCUUGACUUUGGGAUAACUACAGGAAACUGGGGCUAAUACCGGAUAGGAGCUCCUGCUGCAUGGUGGGGGUUGGAAAGUUUCGGCGGUUGGGGAUGGACUCGCGGCUUAUCAGCUUGUUGGUGGGGUAGUGGCUUACCAAGGCUUUGACGGGUAGCCGGCCUGAGAGGGUGACCGGCCACAUUGGGACUGAGAUACGGCCCAGACUCCUACGGGAGGCAUCAGUGGGGGAUAUUGCACAAUGGGCGGAAGCCGGAUGCAGCAACGCCGCGUGCGGGAUGACGGCCUUCGGGUUGUAAACCGCUUUCGCCUGUGACGAAGCGUGAGUGACGGUAAUGGGUAAAGAAGCACCGGCUAACUACGUG
rnacentral:rRNA from 1 species